GCGCGUGCGGAGCGGCGACGACGACGACGACGACGAAAACAUUACGGAUGUUCGUCCAACACAAACCAAUUAUUGUGCAAUUUGUCAUUUUUUUUUUUUUUUUUUUUUAUUUUACCUCGAUUUUUCGUCAAUUGUUGUAAGUAUGGGUAUUACGCGCGCGCCAUUCGAUUGUUUUCCCACGGGGUACCCCGUAUACAGAGGAGUCGGCCGAUUUUUCCGAACGUUUUCUCACGGCUGUUGUUAUGUUGUUUACGCCGUUUGUUUGUUUUUUUUACAAUAUACUACGCGUGCGGGUAAUUUGUGUGUGUGUGUGUGUAUUGUUUGUAUACACAUGCCUACCGAAUGAGGGGAAGAGGCGAUCGCGUGUGUCGCGUCCCUCUCGUUUUCCCGUCCCGUUCGACCUCCCCCCCCCACCCACCCGCGGCGUUUUUCGAUCCGCUACAAGAGGGUGUUUACUAUACCGUACGCCGUUCAUUGACGUUUACAAUUCCUCCGACGGUCCGACGAAAAUCGAUUCGCGCCGAUAAACAUCAUACUAACGAUCGGGUGCCGUCGCGCGAUUUUGCGUUUUCGUGUUUCGAACGGCGGCAUAACAAUCCGGAUCCGACGACGGCGCGCCCGUAUACAGCGUACGAGCGCGUCGUAAUGUUCCGCACGCCCGUGUCGAGGGGCCAACGGCUCCGUCCCCCGAAACCGUCGCGUGCGAACCGCUCGCCGUUCAAUAUUCGACGUCAUUUUCGAUCGCGCCCCGCGACAGUCGAUUUAUCGUCUCGUCAAUGUCGUUAGUUAUGACGGUAACGCGGAACGCGCCGCGACAGUGCCCCGUUGUCGCGGACGAUAAUGU